rnacentral:rRNA from 1 species
UUUAAAGCAAUUAAGGGCGUAUGGUGGAUGCCUUGGGUCUGAGAGGCGAUGAAGGACGUGGUAAGCUGCGAUAAGCUUCGGGGAGCUGCACACAAGCUAUAUAUCCGAAGAUUU